GACGAACGCUGGCGGCGUGCUUAACACAUGCAAGUCGAACGGACAGGCCCGGCUUUUGUGGGGUGCUCGAUUGGCGCACGGGGGAGUGACACGUGAGUAACCUGCCCUUGAAUUUGGGGUAACUUCACGAAAAUGGGGCUAAUACCGGGUAGGAUAUCCUGCAGCGUGGUGUGGGUUGGAAAGUUUCGGCGGUUGGGGCUGGACUCGCGGCUUCUGAGCUUGUUGGUGGGGUAGUGGCUGACCAAGCCUUUGACGGAUAGCCGGCCUGAGAGGGUGACCGGGCACAUUGGGACUGCGAGACGGCCCAGUCUGGUACGGGAGGCAGUAGGGGGGAGUAUUGCAGAACGGGCGGAAGCCUGAUGCAGCAACCCCGGGUGCGGGAUGCCGGCUUUCUGGUUGUAAACCGCUUUCGAAUUAGACGAAGCGUGAGUGACGGUAAUUGGUAAAGAAGCACCGGCUAACUACGUG
rnacentral:rRNA from 1 species